rnacentral:lncRNA from 1 species
GGUUCGGUGGGGAGAGAAGAAGAAACAGAGCAUUGCUCUGUUCUUGGGAAGAAGAAAGAAAUAAAAAAAUAUAUUUUAUGUUGAAAGUCCACCGUGGGAGGGAAAGGGAGAGGAAAUAAAGUUUCUUAUUUUUAUUUUUUUUACUUGUAGAAGAAAGAAGCAUUAGGCUUCAUCUUCAAUCUUUUUACUUUUUGUAAUUAUUUCUUUUUAUGAAAUCAAUUAAUUUUCUUUC